UUGGGGCCCUUUCUUUUUUUUUUUCCACCUGUUUUCAGACAGUCACGCGGGGCUUUCUCGUCUGAAACUCCCUUCCUGUCGCGGUUGCUCUUGCUCUUUGCUGUGCGGUGUUCUCAUCGCUUCUCAACCUCAGCAGGAGAUGGAUGAUACGGAAUGCUCAGGGUCGCCAUCAACAUUCGUCCACUGAUUACGCCGGAGUUACUCAACCGAUGUACGGAUUACAUCACGUCAUUCCCGGUGAGCCUCAGUGAUUGAGUAGGUUCAGAUUGGAUCACAUGCCUUCGCAUAGGACAUCGUGUUUGGUGGUUCUGGAUCCCCUUACUCCGGAAUCUAUGAUAGUUGUGUUGCUCCACUAGUUGAGGCAUUAUUCAGAGGGUACAACAUCACGGGUUUGGCCUAUGGGCAGACCGGAUCAAGAAAGACUUAUACGAUGGGCACUAAUUAUAAUGGGGAUGGAACAAGUAGGGGUGACAUACCAAAGGUGAUGGAGGAUAUAUUUAUAAGAGUCUAAGCAACAAAAGAUUCGACAUAAUUUCUGAUACUUGUUUCUUUUAAUGAGGUAAACGAGUUGCGAUUUUAGCUGCAUGUUAUUGUUGAUAUUCUUACACUCGCUUUUGCCAAGGGACAGAUUUUCAAUGAAGUUGUUUAUGACUUGCUUGGCUCGAACUCAACUACAUUGUCGAAAAAUGAAGCAACACCUUAUUCAAAGCCGAUUAAUAUUUCAAGGCCUCCUAUUCGAAUUAGAGAAACUGCAAGUGGAGGAAUUUACCUUACCGGUGUUACGGAACUUGAAGUUAAGACAAAAGAGAUGAUGGCCACAUAUCUAGCACGAGGUUCAAUGUCUCGUGCCACUGGUAGCACAAAGAUGAAUAGCCAGUCGAGAUGUGUAGAUACAAUUGCCGUUCUCAUGCCAUUUUCACGAUCACCAUGGAACAAAAGAAGAUAUCAAGUAGUUGUUCAUCGACAACAAAUGAUUCUGGUGAUGAUUUAUUAUGUGCAAAGCUUCAUUUGGUGGACUUAGCGGGGUCAGAAAGAGUAAAUCAUACUGGAGCUGAUGGAAUGCGCUUGAAAGAAGGUAAUUUGGUUUGAACUUAUAAGACUUUUUUCUUUUCUGCUAAAACAAUGAGACGUUGAAUUGUGAUUGAUAAAGUGAUUUUGCGUUUUUGCACCUUUGAAAGAAUUCAAAGUAACAAAGGCCUAGUAGCACUUAAAAAUGUGAUUAGUGCUUUAGGUGAUGACCAAAAAAAAAAAAAAGGAAGGUGCUCAUGUCCUAUAUCGUGACAGUAAGUUAACCUGUUUACUCCAUGUAUCAGUUUUUAUUCUUCUUGGACUUUACUCACGUAAAUACCAUAUCAAUAUAUUUCCAUUACUAGUUAAUUCUUAAAAAUAUAUGAAGAAGCAAGUCUUAUAAUCAAUUUUGUAAAUUUUAGGAUUCUUUUGGUGGCACCAGUAAAACUGUGAUGAUCGUCCUGCUAAUACAAACGCCGAAGAGACAUUGAACACUUUGAAGUAUGCAAAUUGUGCUCGCAACAUUCAAAAUAAGACAGUUGUAUGUAUAUUUAUCAUUUUUGCUUUUGAUUAGUUCACGAAUGAUCUGUACUUUAAUUGACCUUGUAAUCUAUAUUGUUUUCAAAAAUUUUAGAUUAAUCGGGACUCUGCAUCUGUAAAAAUUCAAAGAAUGCAGAGCCAAAUCGAGCAAUUGCAAAAAGAACUCUUCUGUGCAUUUGAUGAACGUCUGGUAUUAGUUCUGAAGAAAAACAAUAUAGGACUGGUGUUUUGAAUUUUUGCUAAAGUAGUAUUUUUUGUGUUUUAGAUUCUUAAACAAAAGGUAUUAUGCACACAAGAAGCAAUAAACAAUGAACUGCAAAAAGAAUUUUUGUGUGCAUUUGAUGAACAUCAAAUGCAUAGUUGUGAAGAAAAACAUUGAAAUAUAGUGCCAGUGUUUUGAAUUUUUGCUAAAGUAGUAU